AACGAACGCUGGCGGCAGGCCUAACACAUGCAAGUCGAGCGCCCCGCAAGGGGAGCGGCGGACGGGUGAGUAACGCGUGGGAACGUACCCUUUGCUACGGAAUAGCCUCGGGAAACUGGGAGUAAUACCGUAUGUGUCCUUCGGGAGAAAGAUUUAUCGGCAAGGGAUCGGCCCGCGUUGGAUUAGGUAGUUGGUGGGGUAAUGGCCUACCAAGCCGACGAUCCAUAGCUGGUUUGAGAGGAUGAUGAGCCACACUGGGACUGAGACACGGCCCAGACUCCUACGGGAGGCAGCAGUGGGGAAUCUUAGACAAUGGGCGCAAGCCUGAUCUAGCCAUGCCGCGUGAGCGAUGAAGGCCUUAGGGUUGUAAAGCUCUUUCAGGGGGGAAGAUAAUGACUGUACCCCCAGAAGAAGCCCCGGCUAACUCCGUG
rnacentral:rRNA from 1 species